GCCAGCUUAGCUCAGUGGUAGAGCAGUUGAUUUGUAAUCAACCGGUCAUCGGUUCAAGUCCGAUAGCUGGCU
rnacentral:tRNA from 1 species